CGGCCCACGCGGCGGCGGGGGGGGGGGUACGGAGAGCCGCGGGGGCCACUCGCCCGCGCCCUGCGCUGGAGCCGGCGAGGGGAGGGGAUGCGCGAGCGGGGUCUCCCCGGCCGCUUGGUACGGCCUGGGCGUGGCGCCGCAGGGGCUGCCGGGAGCGCGGGGCCCCGCGCCUGCGCAGUGGGAGCGGCGAGGAGGGGGCUGGGGCCGGCAGCAGCAGAGCGGCGGGGUGUUGGUCACCGGGCAGCCGCCAGGCUUUUCUUUCCUUUUUCUUUUUUUAAGUAUAACUGGGACAGCGGCUCGUUCCACGUCUGGCACAGCUUGACCACAGCCACAGCUCUGUCUGAAAUACCCUGCCAUAUCUGAACCAUGAACACCUUGUCCAAUGCGCCAAAUGUUUUGUCGCCUUCUUGUGGCAUCUGUGGAGUAUUCCUGCAUGAGUCUUCGUUUUCCCUACAACUUUCUUUUUCAACCUAUGAUAACUCCUGUUUUCUCUUACUGAAUCAUCCUGUGGUGUCUUCAUAGAAACCAGACCUCAUUAUUUGACCAGGUGAAUUGUUAUUACUCAUCACAGGCAGCUUACCUGCAGUCAGUAAGUCAGACUGCUUCACCCUUCGACAGUCUGAGCUUCUCUAUAGUGCUUGGGAAAGUGUUUGCAUUUUGCGAGAUGCUUGCUGAGAUUCUUUUUCUUUGCAAAGUGCUUACUUAUCCCAACUGGCAGCUAAACAUAUGGCAAAUUUUUUUCUUUUGUGUCCAACUCUCAGUUGGUCAAAACUGCGUUAUCUGAGGAAACAGCAAUCUAGCUGCAGAAAGACAUAUUGUUGAGCUAUAUUCAGCUAUUUGUUCCUAUUAUUGUUCGGUUAUUUAUCAAGUUUUUAACUAAUUCUCAUUUUCAUUCACACUCUUGGUCCUGUGUCAGUACCAAUGGAUGAAACAAUUUCUGCCAAGACUAAUAAUGAAUCAGAAAUGAGCCAUGGCAUGGUCUUCUAUUUAGAGAUGGUGGUAUAACUGAACAUGUUUUUAGGUGGUGGGCCCAUGAGUUAAAGGAUAGCCUACUAGCAUCCCUACCAAUUUUUUCAAAUAACAAAAUAACUGUACAGCAUGAGGAGAAGAUUCCUAUUUGUAGAAGCUUCUGGCAUGGAAGCAUUUCAGUCCACCACCAGAUGACACUCAAGGAUUUGGCAGCAUCCUCAAAGAAAGUUGGUUAAAAAAAAAAAAAAAAAAGACCUAGCUAUGGUAUAUUUGCAGCGCUAGCAUUGUGAGCUGCAACUUAUCUUCAGGGUUUUUCUUUAAGAUGCAUGUUUUUAGCAUUUACCUUAAUCAUGCAGUGAUGCUUUUACUGCUAGCAUGUGUUUUGAAAUAUAUAUGGUAUUAGGUUUAUGCUGUGCACACACCUGCUAACAGCCUUCUUUGUUCUGUCAUAUUCAAGACAAGAGUCCAUGAAAUAGCCUAAAAAUAAUGUAUUUACUUAGUAUGGGAAAAGACUGAUCAGUACAUGGUACAUAGAAAACCCUCUUAAAGAAGCAACAAGUUGAUUAAAUAAAGAUUUACAAAACAGUUCCUUAGCCA
rnacentral:lncRNA from 1 species